rnacentral:lncRNA from 1 species
CACCAUGCACACGUCUGAGGCUCCUUAAGGAAAAGCUGACCACGUCCCAUGUCAAUCUGAGACUGAACUGGACAGCUGAAUGCCAAAAUUCUGAUACGUUACCUGAGGAAGUCAAAGUGAAGGAAACAGUCCUUUAAAAAUUGUGCAGAGCUGCUGUCAGUUAUGGAGGCAGAAGACCAGUCCUUCCUGCCGCAGGAUCCUGGUGACAGGGGUAGCAAGUGAGCGUAUCUUUAAGAAGCGUGGCAAAAUGGUAUUGAAGAUGACAUAUAGCCAUAAACUUAAAUCACUGCUAAGCUACACCUUCAAGUCUGCCAGCAUUGGUUGCCACACUCAGCCAGUGAAAAGGGGCAGCAGAGAGGCUCUGCUGAGAAGGAAGGGCUGAGCUCAGGGACCCCCAGCUCAGCGUCCGAGGAAGGACAAGGACAUCAGUGGAGCUAUAGGUUCAGAUCAGUGUCUGCUAGAGGCCUCCAGUGCUGCUAUCAAAGCCACUUUCAAAGCUAAUAAGGCAAGAUCUGCUCCGGUCUUGCUGUUCCGAAGUCUCAAACAGAUGUCAGCGCCUUUACCGAAGAACACACUAAAAAGUGGAUUAGACAAGCACACAGGGAACGCUGGAUUCAGACUGACAGCCAAGGAGAAAAAAAAAAAGAAGAAGAAGAAGAAGAAAAAAGUGCUAUUCCCCACAAAUAUCUAAAGGUGGGAGUUUUCAAACGCCCUCGCUGUGUGUGGAGCGCUAGGGACAUCCAUGAUUGAAGACUCCCUAAUCUUCCCAGGAGUAACCACACAGGCGAAUAUUUGCUCGCUCUGCCCGUACAGGUAGCGUAUCCCAAUGCUGCUGAUGUAUUAACGCGCGAGUAUUUAAGCGGAGCUUUUCCACCCCGGAUCACUGCGGUGAGCUGCUUGCGCUGAGGAGGUAGCCUUGCUUCUCCCUGCUUUCUG